CAUGCAUGUCUCAGUACAAGCCGCAUUAAGGUGAAACCGCGAAAGGCUCAUUAAAUCAGUUAUGGUUCCUUAGAUCGUACCCACAAUUACUUGGAUAACUGUGGUAAUUCUAGAGCUAAUACAUGCAAACAGAGUCCCGACCGGAGACGGAAGGGAUGCUUUUAUUAGAUCAAAACCAAUCGGCGGCGGUGCGUUCGCGCGUCGUUCGCCGUUAACGCUGGUGACUCUGAAUAACUUUAUGCUGAUCGCACGGUCUCGAACCGGCGACGCAUCUUUCAAAUGUCUGCCUUAUCAACUGUCGAUGGUAGGUUCUGCGCCUACCAUGGUCGUAACGGGUAACGGGGAAUCAGGGUUCGAUUCCGGAGAGGGAGCCUGAGAAACGGCUACCACAUCCAAGGAAGGCAGCAGGCGCGCAAAUUACCCACUCCCGGCACGGGGAGGUAGUGACGAAAAAUAACGAUACGGGACUCAUCCGAGGCCCCGUAAUCGGAAUGAGUACACUUUAAAUCCUUUAACGAGGAUCAAUUGGAGGGCAAGUCUGGUGCCAGCAGCCGCGGUAAUUCCAGCUCCAAUAGCGUAUAUUAAAGUUGUUGCGGUUAAAAAGCUCGUAGUUGAAUCUGUGUCCCGCGCCGUCGGUUCGCCGCUCGCGGCGAUGACUGGCGCGUCUGCGGGACGUCCUGCCGGUGGGCGCGGUCGGCCGCGUGUUUCGCCCGGCUUCCGGUCGCUGUCGUCCUCGCGGGCGGUGGCGCUCCCGGUGCCGGUGUCGUGCGCGCGUCUCCGGCGGCCCAACUAUAAAAAAUCCCGUCGCGGUGCUCUUCAUUGAGUGUCGAGGCGGGCCGGCACGUUUACUUUGAACAAAUUAGAGUGCUCAAAGCAGGCUAAAACUUCGCCUGAAUACUGUGUGCAUGGAAUAAUGGAAUAGGACCUCGGUUCUAUUUUGUUGGUUUUCGGAACCCCGAGGUAAUGAUUAAUAGGGACAGAUGGGGGCAUUCGUAUUGCGACGUUAGAGGUGAAAUUCUUGGAUCGUCGCAAGACGAACAGAAGCGAAAGCAUUUGCCAAAAAUGUUUUCAUUAAUCAAGAACGAAAGUUAGAGGUUCGAAGGCGAUCAGAUACCGCCCUAGUUCUAACCAUAAACGAUGCCAGCUAGCGAUCCGCCGACGUUCCUUCGAUGACUCGGCGGGCAGCUUCCGGGAAACCAAAGCUUUUGGGUUCCGGGGGAAGUAUGGUUGCAAAGCUGAAACUUAAAGGAAUUGACGGAAGGGCACCACCAGGAGUGGAGCCUGCGGCUUAAUUUGACUCAACACGGGAAACCUCACCAGGCCCGGACACCGGAAGGAUUGACAGAUUGAGAGCUCUUUCUUGAUUCGGUGGGUGGUGGUGCAUGGCCGUUCUUAGUUGGUGGAGCGAUUUGUCUGGUUAAUUCCGAUAACGAACGAGACUCUGGCCUGCUAACUAGGCGUACAUUUUCCGGUAUCUCGAAGGCCCGCCGUGCCGCUGUCGUGCCGAGGUAGCGUGCGCGUCGUACUCCUCGUGGGUGCGGUUGCGCCGUUCCCCGUGCCGGCUCGGUUUCGUGCGCGGUUUUUACUACCGGCGUGCAAUACAUUCUUCUUAGAGGGACAGGCGGCUUCUAGCCGCACGAGAUUGAGCAAUAACAGGUCUGUGAUGCCCUUAGAUGUUCUGGGCCGCACGCGCGCUACACUGAAGGAAUCAGCGUGUCCUCCCUGGCCGAAAGGUCCGGGUAACCCGCUGAACCUCCUUCGUGCUAGGGAUCGGGGCUUGCAAUUAUUCCCCGUGAACGAGGAAUUCCCAGUAAGCGCGAGUCAUAAGCUCGCGUUGAUUACGUCCCUGCCCUUUGUACACACCGCCCGUCGCUACUACCGAUUGAAUGAUUUAGUGAGGUCUUCGGACUGGUACGCGGCGGCGUUUUCGACAUUCGCCGAUGUUGCUGGGAAGAUGACCAAACUUGAUCAUUUAGAGGAAGUAAAAGUCGUAACAAGGUUUCCGU
rnacentral:rRNA from 1 species